rnacentral:rRNA from 1 species
AGAGGGUGCAAGCGUUAAUCGGAAUUACUGGGGCGUAAAGGGCGCGUAGGCGGAUUUGUAAGUCAUGUGUGAAAGUCCUGGGGGCUUAACCUGGGGGACUGCAUAUGAGACUGUGAGUCUAGAGUGAAGCAGAGGGUAGCGGAAUUUCCGGUGUAGCGGUGAAAUGCGUAGAUAUCGGAAGGAACACCAGCGGCGAAGGCGGCUACCUGGGCUUAGACUGACGCUGAGGUGCGAAAGCGGGGGUAGCGAACAGGAUUAGAUACCCUGGUAGUCCACGCUGUAAACGAUGAGAACUAGCUGUUGGUAAUGUAUAGUUAUCGAUAGCGUAGCCAACGCACUAAGUUCUCCGCCUGGGGAGUACGGCCGCAAGGUUA